AUUGAACGCUGGCGGCAGGCCUAACACAUGCAAGUCGAGCGGAUGAAGAGAGCUUGCUCUCUGAUUUAGCGGCGGACGGGUGAGUAAUGCCUAGGAAUCUGCCUGGUAGUGGGGGAUAACGUCCGGAAACGGGCGCUAAUACCGCAUACGUCCUACGGGAGAAAGCAGGGGACCUUCGGGCCUUGCGCUCUCAGAUGAGCCUAGGUCGGAUUAGCUAGUUGGUGAGGUAAUGGCUCACCAAGGCUACGAUCCGUAACUGGUCUGAGAGGCUGAUCAGUCACACGGGAACUGAGAAACGGUCCAGACUCCUACGGGAGGCAGCAGUGGGGAAUAUUGGACAAUGGGCGAAAGCCUGAUCCAGCCAUGCCGCGUGUGUGAAGAAGGUCUUCGGAUUGUAAAGCACUUAAAGUUGGGAGGAAGGGCAGUAAGUUAAUACCUUGCUGUUUUGACGUUACCGACAGAAUAAGCACCGGCUAACUUCGUGCCAGCCGCCGCAGUAACAC
rnacentral:rRNA from 1 species